UUGGGAAAUCUCUCCUUUGACUUUCAGAAUAGCACAGAAGCAGAGACUUUAUGUCUAAGCAGACCUAGAUUCAGAGCAGACCCGAAGCUGCUUGAAGAAGGCUGGAGGUAUGUUAAGGAGACAAGAGCUGUCAAGAAGCAGGGAUGUCUCUGGAAAGGAUGGUUUAGUAGACACCUGUUAAUUUGUCUGCCUGGCAUUUAUCCAUCUUCCUCAUGGGACAUGGAUGAAUCUGGAGAACAUCAUCCUCAGCAAACUGACACAAGAACAGAAAAUGAAACACCGCAUAUUCUCACUCAUAGGUGGGUGAUGAAAAAUGAGAACACAUGGACACAGAAAGGGGAGUACUAAACACUGGGGUCUAUUGGGGGGAAAAGGGGAGGGCCAGUGGGAGGGGGAGGGGGGGGAGGGAUAGCCUGGGGAGAAAUGCCAAAUGUGGGUGAAGGGGAGAAGAAAAGCAAAGCACACUGCCAUGUGUGUACCUAUGCAACUGUCUUGCAUGCUCUGCUCAUGUACCCCAAAACCUAAAAUCCAAUAAAAAAUUAAAAAAAAAAGAAGUAAUUGUCUUCUUAAUCACACUGGGUAAGAUACUUCUACACAGUCCAACUAAUUGAUUAAAAUGAUAUUUUUGAAUAGCCAUAUGUCAUAUGGAGUUUUUCAGUUGACAUUAAAGAAGUUGAAUAUACUUUUGGAAUUUUGUUGUUAUAAAUAGAAUCAGUAGAACUUGAAAACGUUGCUUAGGAUUUACUAAGAUUCUAAUAACUACAAGUAUAAAAAUAGGUUCCUCACAAUGUACUAAUAAUAUGUAAAAGAUAAAGGGAGUGGUUAUUGGAAAAAAGGAGGUUUAUCUCAAAAUGAGACUUGCAAUUGUUCUAUAUGUUCAACCUGAUAUGUUCUCAGACAAAUACCAUAAGUAAAAAUAAUGGCAAUAUUCAUCACACUGAAGUAACAACUUAGAGAACUUAGAACUAAGCUGCAUUUUUAAAAAGAACACUAGCAUAUGCUCAUUUAUCAUGAAAAUUAUUUCUACUCAAUAUUGAAAACGAUGAAGACUGUAUGCUUUGCAAGAAAAAAUAUUCAUUGGUGCCAUCUUUCCAUAUAAUCAAGCAAACGUUUCCUCCUCCACAGCAUUUGAUACAUAAUAAGAAUCCCUUCCACUUUGACAAAAAUAUGACAACCAUAAGAAAGAUUAAGCUAUAAAGCUGUAUCAGUAGGCACUGCCCAUUACUUACUCAGAACUAUAGCAGUGAAUGAUGUCCAGCAGAGUUAUUUUGAACUAUACCUUCAGAAGGGUCUCAGUAACCUUAACCAGUGUAUUCCUAUUAGCUUUUAUCUUUCAUCAGAACAUACACACCAUGUUUACAUUUACUGAAGAAGCAAUUGAUUCUCAAUGAGUAUUCUUUGAGGAAUUUCUCCCAAAGUCUCAGUAAGGCUUCAUAAAACACUGACAUCCUUAGUCAAAGCUGUUUUAAAGACCUCACCAAACGCAUGGAUAUAGACCUCAUGUGUCAAAAUGAUAAUAUUGCUGACUGAGGGAAGUAAGAGUUUCGAAAAAGAAUACGACCGAUUGCACCACAAAACAUUAUAAGUUGAUUUAUAGCAAAUUGCUUUGACUUUUCAAGAAAUGAAUUUAACUUUCACUCAACGUUUUUCCUUUUCAUAAAAGAAAAUCCUGUCUCAUUGUGCACUUGACAGUACUGGACAAAGACAUGCUUUCGCUUUUCUGAUUUGGGAGUCGGGGGAAGGAAAUAUAGAAAACACAUGAAACAAAGUACAGCUGAAUUUGGAGAAUGUGAAGGACAUAAAAUCUGUUAGAUAUUUUUCUACAGAGUUUUAAAACUAAUCAUUCAAUAAAAUGCCACAAUUACUUAUAAGCAUCAGCAGUGUAGAAUCGUUGUGUAUCAUGUCAGCAGAGAAAGCUUGGCUGUUUUUCUUCCACCUUCUUUGAUGAUUUUACAAAAUAUAUUUAUUCAAGUUAAUUUAGAACUGUAACAUCACAUAGGGGAAAGGUAAAGUAAACUGUUGUUAAACAUCUAUUCUAUCCUUCCCUUCCUUAUCACCGCCUUCUGAAUUACUACUUUUAACAGGACAUUUACUGCAGGCACCAUUCCAGUAUAUUUCUGGGAAGCUAUUAAUGAUAACAAGCCCAGGAUAGUCAGGGAAAUUAACAGUUUCACCUCUUUUGUAUUCCAUUUCUUGUAACUGGCGCUGUAAGUUCUGAAAUUUCUAUAGCCUAUACCUUUAAUAAUUUUUACAUAUGGCUUAAAGCU
rnacentral:lncRNA from 1 species